GCCGAGGUAGCUCAGGUGGUUAGAGCAGCGGAAUCAUAAUCCGCGUGUCGGGGGUUCGAAUCCCUCCCUCGGCA
rnacentral:tRNA from 1 species